rnacentral:lncRNA from 1 species
GAUGUUAAACUGGGUUGUCAAAGUCGUACCCCAACCACCUGAGCCGCCGUCCAAAAUCGCAGAGGGUCCGAAGGGCGGCAAACAAAGUGCUGCCCCCCCUGUCGCCGAAGCUCCGCCUCCUCCUCCUGAGAAGAAAGUGAAGUUUCAAGAUGAAUGCAAAAACGAAGCUUCAAAGGCUGAGAAUUCAAAGCAGGAGAACCAAGCAGCGGCAGGAAACGGUCCUGCGCCUGGGGUGCUGACCUGGAUCAGCAGCUCUCUUCCACAUCCUGCAGCCUCACCAAGCCUGAACAGAGCAAUCCCCGCCCACUCCACCAAGGUGCGUCAGACAGCGCCUCCUGCAGAAUCUCAGGUCACAGCGAAGGAGGCGGAGAGCGACCAAAGUGAGAAGUUAGGCCCGCCCAGGAUGAUGGAGUGGAUCAAACAUGGAAUCGAGAAGGUGGUUCCUCAUCCGGAGAGUCACUCCACCAACGAGAAGACUGAAGCUAAAGGUGCUUCUACUUCGCUGUUGAGAGUCACUGAUGAUGAUGAUGAUGAUGAUGACCUUCAAUUCCACUCGUGGUGUCUUUUGUUUGUUUCAGUGAUCAAAGUUCUGGCUUCGGCUCCAAAACCUCCCUCAGAGACAGAGCUCACCAAUGAAGCAGAGCAGCAGCCAAAUAUGAUGGGCUGGAUCGUCAGUGGGAUCGGCCGCAUGCUGCCUCAGCCAGUCCUGAAGCCGGACGCAGGAAGUGACGAGGUGCAGACGAGUAAGUACCACACUGUCACCACUGCCCUCCUCGGCUGGCCUUCGGGUGGGGUCACCCAUGAGCACCAAUCUUUCUCUCCGUGUAGCCCGCAGAGACGAGCUGAUUGGUUGGUUGUAGCAGACAGUGUCAGCGCUGAGGUGGACUCUAACUGGGCUGCUCUUCUCCUUCUGUUUCAGGAAGGAAAGGAAAGCAGAGCCCCUUAA